UGUUCUUCAAGGACGCUGUUAUUAUAAAAAGGGGUGGGCUUUAAUUCCUCGUGUUCCAUGAAAUCACGGAUAGCGUUUUUAUGAGGCAACAAUUUGGAGACAGGGAAAAUCUGCCGAACCGUAGGAAUUAAGAAAACGGUAAACCUUUUACCAGUGGCAGCAAAUCCUUUGGACUCGGGCAAAAUCGCAAGUAUCGGCCUUCGUAUGUCAUCAUUAAACGCAACAAAUUCCAAUUUAACUUCAUUACCUAAAUUUUCCAAUAAGUGUUUGGCAAUACAAGUCAAAUAAAAUGCUCUUUUACGAAAAUAUCUGCCGUUCAAAUAAUCCUUUUGGGUAAAUAUAGACUCUGGGAUUUCUAAAAAGAGAUCAUAUGACCAACCAUCAGGAUUCAAAAAAAAUUUGUUCGAACAGCUGAAAAUACCCGGUGUUACAGUUUUUGGCGGCACAAAA